GCCUGGGUGGCUCAGUGGUUGAGUGUCUGCCUUUGGCUCAGGGCCUGAUCCCAGAGCUCUGGGAUCGAGUCCCACCUCAGGCU
rnacentral:tRNA from 1 species